UGGCGGCGUGCCUAACACAUGCAAGUCGAACGAGAAAGGGGAGCAAUCCCUGAGUAAAGUGGCGACCGGGUGAGUAACACGUGACUAACCUGCCUUCGAGUGGGGGAUAACCUCGGGAAACCGGGGCUAAUACCGCAUAAUGCCGAGAGGUUAGAGGAGCAAUUCGCUUGAAGAGGGGGUCGCGGCUGAUUAGCUAGUUGGCGGGGUAACGGCCCACCAAGGCGAUGAUCGGUAGCCGGCCUGAGAGGGCGCACGGCCACACUGGAACUGAAACACGGUCCAGACUCCUACGGGAGGCAGCAGUGGGGAAUUUUGCGCAAUGGGGGAAACCCUGACGCAGCAACGCCGCGUGGAGGAUGAAGUCCCUUGGGACGUAAACUCCUUUCGACCGGGACGAUAAUGACGGUACCGGUGGAAGAAGCCCCGGCUAACUUCGUGCCAGCAGCCGCGGUAAUACGAGGGGGGCGAGCGUUGUUCGGAAUUAUUGGGCGUAAAGGGCGCGUAGGCGGUGCGGUAAG
rnacentral:rRNA from 1 species